GGAAUAUUCCACAAUGGGCGAACGCCUGAUGGAGCGACGCCGCGUGAGUGAAGAAGGGCUUCGGCUCGUAAAGCUCUUUUCUUGAGGACGAAUGGCCUAUUAGAUAGGCAGAGACGGUACUUAGGGAAUAAGCCACGGCUAACUACGUGCCAGCAGCCGCGGUAAUACGUAGGUGGCAAGCGUUGUCCGGAUUUAUUGGGCGUAAAGCGAGCGCAGGCGGUUUGAUAAGUCUGAUGUGAAAGCCUUUGGCUUAACCAAAGAAGUGCAUCGGAAACUGUCAGACUUGAGUGCAGAAGAGGACAGUGGAACUCCAUGUGUAGCGGUGGAAUGCGUAGAUAUAUGGAAGAACACCAGUGGCGAAGGCGGCUGUCUGGUCUGCAACUGACGCUGAGGCUCGAAAGCAUGGGUAGCGAACA
rnacentral:rRNA from 1 species